UGAUAUACCUAAUAACUAAAAAACCACAAAUCCUAAAGCCCAAUAGCAAAUCAAAAAAUGAGAUAAUACUAAAUCCAAAAACCUCAAAAACCACAUAACCAACUACUAACCACUAAACCUAAUUUUAAAAUAGUAAAUCCAAAAAUAAUGAAUUGAAAACCUUAAAUGGUAAACCCCAAGCACUAAGCAUACACUUUAACCAAGAUAGAAAGCCUUCAAAGUUAAGGAUGACAACAAAUUCAACUAAAAAACAAGAUCACAACAGGGCCACUUGAAGUACGAUCAAAUUAGGGGUCUUAGAAUAUAUGUUUUGAUUUAUACAUAUAUAUAUAACACCCUAACCACUAAAAUUUACACACUACUCCCCUAUAAUCCAAAUCAAAAACCUAAAAAUUGCACCCAAAAUAUAGUCUAUAAAAU
rnacentral:lncRNA from 1 species